rnacentral:rRNA from 1 species
GAUGAACGCUGGCGGCGUGCCUAAUACAUGCAAGUCGAGCGAACAGACGAGGAGCUUGCUCCUCCGACGUUAGCGGCGGACGGGUGAGUAACACGUGGAUAACCUACCUAUAAGACUGGGAUAACUUCGGGAAACCGGAGCUAAUACCGGAUAAUAUAUUGAACCGCAUGGUUCAAUAGUGAAAGACGGUUUUGCUGUCACUUAUAGAUGGAUCCGCGCCGCAUUAGCUAGUUGGUAAGGUAACGGCUUACCAAGGCGACGAUGCGUAGCCGACCUGAGAGGGUGAUCGGCCACACUGGAACUGAGACGCGGUCCAGACUCCUACGGGAGGCAGCAGUAGGGAAUCUUCCGCAAUGGGCGAAAGCCUGACGGAGCAACGCCGCGUGAGUGAUGAAGGUCUUCGGAUCGUAAAACUCUGUUAUUAGGGAAGAACAAAUGUGUAAGUAACUAUGCACGUCUUGACGGUACCUAAUCAGAAAGCCACGGCUAACUACGUG